rnacentral:rRNA from 1 species
GAUGUUGGGUUAAGUCCCGUAACGAGCGCAACCCUUGUCCUUAGUUACCAGCACGUUAUGGUGGGCACUCUAAGGAGACUGCCGGUGACAAACCGGAGGAAGGUGGGGAUGACGUCAAGUCAUCAUGGCCCUUAUGUCCAGGGCGACACACGUGCUACAAUGGCCGGCACAGCGGGAAGCGGAGGGGCGACCCUGAGCGGAUCCCUUGAAAGCCGGUCCCAGUUCGGAUUGCAGUCUGCAACUCGACUGCAUGAAGUUGGAAUCGCUAGUAAUCGCGGAUCAGCCAAGCCGCGGUGAAUACGUUCCCGGGCCUU